GCCCUGUUAGCUCAGUCGGUUAGAGCGUCUGACUGUUAAUCAGAAUGUCAUUGGUUCAAGUCCAAUACGGGGCGCAA
rnacentral:tRNA from 1 species